GAUUAACGCGAAGAACCUUACCUACCCUUGACAUGGUCGGAAUCCUGCUGAGAGGUGGGAGUGCUCGAAAGAGAACCGGCGCACAGGUGCUGCAUGGCUGUCGUCAGCUCGUGUCGUGAGAUGUUGGGUUAAGUCCCGCAACGAGCGCAACCCUUGUCCUUAGUUGCUACGCAAGAGCACUCUAAGGAGACUGCCGGUGACAAACCGGAGGAAGGUGGGGAUGACGUCAAGUCCUCAUGGCCCUUAUGGGUAGGGCUUCACACGUCAUACAAUGGUCGGAACAGAGGGUUGCCAACCCGCGAGGGGGAGCUAAUCCCAGAAAACCGAUCGUAGUCCGGAUUGCACUCUGCAACUCGAGUGCAUGAAGCUGGAAUCGCUAGUAAUCGCGGAUCAGCACGCCGCGGUGAAUACGUUCCCGGGCCUUGUACACACCGAAUC
rnacentral:rRNA from 1 species